GGGGGUGAUUAGGUUUCGACAGGGAAUCAGGGUGUGAGUGAUGCAUGCCGGAGAUGCUGUCCACUCCGUUACCAAGCAGCAAACAAAAUUAACUGCAAACUACAAUUACGCAUUAGCAGCAUAGGCUGCUACGUUUAACCCGUCCGAACCGACGGGAUGGGAUUAAGCGUCGGAACAGUUCGGUUGCACUGGCACGAAUGCCCAUAAGUGCCAGUUAAGAUUAUGGGCUUGGUCAUAGCAGGUCUGAUCGUCUUGCACUGCUAUGACAACACUUAAAGACGACUAAGCAUGUAGAUUCGCUCAUAGUCGGUUCUUUGGACGCGGGUUCGAUUCCCGCCACCUCCACCA
rnacentral:tmRNA from 2 species